ACCGACACAGGUGGUCAGGUAGAGAAUACCAAGGCGCUUGAGAGAACUCGGGUGAAGGAACUAGGCAAAAUGGUGCCGUAACUUCGGGAGAAGGCACGCUGAUAUGUAGGUGAAGCGGUUUACCCGUGGAGCUGAAAUCAGUCGAAGAUACCAGCUGGCUGCAACUGUUUAUUAAAAACACAGCACUGUGCAAACACGAAAGUGGACGUAUACGGUGUGACGCCUGCCCGGUGCCGGAAGG
rnacentral:rRNA from 2 species